rnacentral:lncRNA from 1 species
UGUGUGUGUGUGUGUAUGUACAUAAUACCAACUAAGGUCCCUAACCUAUCCGUAUGGGACUAUUCCCGAAUAUCUGGUACUGUUAUAUUUUUAAUUAAAACCUAUCUAUUUCUUGAGAGAUUAAAAUAGUACUCAGGAGUAAGGUCGUAAUAUAUGUAGCAAGGAAGAGUAAAAUAUAAGAUCUUGGUAAAGAUUUGUGUUGGAUGGUCCUAGAAGAGCAAUGAGAAUUUAACAACUUGGAUAGAUAUUGAAAGGAAGGACUUCAAAGACAAAAUCUUGCUGAAAAUAUAGAAGGGAAGGGUGAUAAAAUAGUGUUAGUUGCGGCAAUGGUUGCCCUUCUUGGAGGCUACUCUUUGAGGGGAUCAGUGGUAAGUGAUAAAGAGGCAGUUUAAUUUAUCCAAGGUUCACUGAGGUAAAGGUAGGGCAUGUUUGUAAGGAACAGGCAAUUUAGAAGCUAGUAGUCGAGAAAAUGUGAGGGGGCUGGUUUGGUAUUACAGAAAUCAAAAUGCUCUUCGCUUUUCUAUGAAAUAGGAUAUAUCUGACAUUGCAGCAU